ensembl:lncRNA
UAUGUCUAUGGAUAGCCCCCCUGGCUACCCCCUCACACUCCUUCCUACAGUGACUGUAUUCCCCCCUCUACCCUGCCCUGACUGCCACACACCUCCCUCCAGCCACUGAACAUUUGCACUAAAAUUGUUCAUUUGUAUAUAUCUAUUUAUUUAAAAUUGUUGUCCAUAUCCAUAUUCAUUGUAUUUAUAUCUUAUCAUGUCUCCUACCUCAUUUAUAACUUUAUAACUUCUACUGCCACCUUCACCUGCACUUUAUCUAUAUCACAUUUGCACUAAUCACCAUUAUUGCUGCUCAUGUUCUUACUGUUCAUACCACGUAUAUCUUAUAUCAUACUGUAUAUAUCCUAUUUAUCUAUUUUUAUAUUACCACUAUACAUAUGCACAUACUGUGCACUCUUCUACUUUGCACUUCUGGUUAGACGCUAAUAGCAUUUUGUUGCCUCAGUACUUGUACUCUGUGCAAUGACAAUAAAGUUGAAUCUAAUCUAAUUUCAUUCCAAUUAUUAUUAUUGUUAUCGUUUUUGUUGUUGUACAAAGUCUUUCUUUUAAACGAGCGUGAACUACACCGAAACAAUUACUUUUGAUGUCAUUUCCGUUUCCCAGUUCCAGCUCCUCCAACGGAAAGGGUAAGAUAUUCUGAAAGCAAACUGAUUUUUAGAGGGUUACAAGUCAGACGUAGAGGUUUCUGACGAUAGCUAAAGUGAAAUGUGAAUGAGUCGGUCAAGUUGCUGUCGAUUAAGAAGCUGAACGCCACAGCGUUGAGCUUACGGGGCUAUUUGUAGCUCGUAUCAGAUAGCUUCACCUCUCUCGACUUGUAUAAACGUGGCCCAAAGAGAGCCCAUAUCUGAAGCUGAGACAUGGUGAGACCCCGCUCUGGAUCCCCGAGGGUGAAACACAGGUCCUACACGAGUGACUACGGUUCUCAAAAUGGCGGAGAACAUCCUCGGGCGUUCCACAGUGGCAGAGGGGGUGGUGGUCCUGGCAAGGCCCCUCCCGGCUGGAGAGAGGCCCACAACAACAGGGGCCGCAAGGCUCCCUACCCCGACAGACCCCGGUCAGUGCCAUGGCAACAGAAGAGCCCCCAGGCCCGAGACCAUGGACCACCGUCUCCCUGGCAGUCCAAGAGUCAGGAGAACUACCUGGGCUAUGCCUCCUCCUCCCAGCCCUCAGAUGCCCACCGUCGCUAUGGAGACCCAGCCCCCCCCAGACCAGGCCUAGCCCAGUGCAGACCGUCACCUCAUGACCCUAGCCUAGCCCAGCGCAGACCUUCACCCCAUGACCCUAGCCUAGCCCAGCGCAGACCGUCACCCCAUGACCCUAGCCUGGCCCGAUCACACCACAGUAGGCAGUAUGACGGAGGACCUCGUGGAUUUCAGUCCCGUCCCCAGAAUCCCGACCACCGGAGCCACAACAAGCAGGUUUAUCCCCAGCCCCCCCCCCACCACAGGAGUCCCUUCCGCACCCCCAGACAGGAGGAGCAGCGUCCCUGGGGCAGCAGGUCCCAGUCUCCCAGUUGUCCCUCCCGGCGGCCUCUGCCCAAACACCAGCACAUCAUGACCCAGGCUGGGGACCGAGGCCGUGGCCGGGGUGGCCGGGGUCGAGGGGGCGGUGGCGGAGUUUCUGGAAAUGGUUGUGGAAGGCAGGCUUUCUGGGGGGGGGAUAGAGGGCCAGCAGACAGGGGUAACCCCCCCUAUCCCAGCCCGCGAGGUCAGCACCACCACCCUCAGCCCCGGAAUGGCGAGGGUCGUUGUCCCCCCUCCAACUCCCCCUUGAGAAAAGAGCGGGAGUUUCACAGCCGAGAGAGCCCAAUCCCACUGGAUCAUCAGCACCUGUCACGUGAUCUGGUGGUGGUAUCGCAGUGGGAGGCUGGAUCGCCUGAGAAUGAUGAUGGGGAUUGUGAUGACGACCACGGCAUGGAGGACCAGGAAGAUGUUGUUAAAGAGACGUCGGUUUUCCAUAGCAACCGCAUUACUGGUCCACAGGAGCCGCAGGAACCUAAGGCAACCGCUUCAUCGCCGCAAGAACAGAACAACCAGAACAAGAGGCUUGUCAGACGACCGCUCAUGAGCCUGAAGACCGUUAGACCUCUGAAGAAGUUUGGACAGAUGGCUGUUGUGGCCACAAAGCGCAGCCAGAGCAUCGUCUCCAAGUACCGCCUCAUGCGUCAAAAAGCUCCGCCCACGCCCGCUCGUAUCAGCCAACCCCAGCAGAGCACGAGCCACCGACGCUGGUGAUCUCUCUAAAGGUAGCCCGAUGCGCCUCAGAAGAGAUUCUUCCUGCUUGGAUACGCACUUUCAGCGCUGGGGAGAUUUGAAAACUACCCAUUUAAUAAUCUUUUUUUUUUUUAAACUCUAAAUUAAUAAAACCUCUACGCAUUUCUCA